UGAGGAAUAUUGGUCAAUGGGCGGAAGCCUGAACCAGCCAAGUCGCGUGAGGGAAGACGGCCCUAAGGGUUGUAAACCUCUUUUGCCGGGGAGCAAAAGCGCCGUGCGCGGUGCUAUGAGAGUACCCGGAGAAAAAGCAUCGGCUAACUCCGUGCCAGCAGCCGCGGUAAUACGGAGGAUGCGAGCGUUAUCCGGAUUUAUUGGGUUUAAAGGGUGCGUAGGCGGACAGUUAAGUCAGCGGUCAAAACGGGCGGCUCAACCGCCUGCCGCCGUUGAAACUGGCGUGCUCGAGUGCGUGCGAGGAAGGCGGAAUGCGUUGUGUAGCGGUGAAAUGCAUAGAUAUGACGCAGAACUCCGAUUGCGAAGGCAGCUUUCCAGCGCGCUACUGACGCUGAGGCACGAAAGCGUGGGGAUCGAACAGGAUUAGAUACCCUGGUAGU
rnacentral:rRNA from 1 species